AAAAUUUUAGUUUAACCUAAAAUGAUUCAUUUACAUUGAAUAGAUUAAUUUAUUUAUUAAAAUUUUA
rnacentral:tRNA from 1 species